CUUUGUGUCAUUUUCUCCUUUUCCUUCUCCCUCACGUUCUCUUCUUGCGUGGCUUUCUCCUUCUCCCUCACUUUCUCUUCUACUAACGCAAAGUGCAGCCCGACUUCAACUCUUCUCCUUUCUCAGUCGCCGUCGCGUCUCCUUCACCGUCGCCAACCGUUCAGUCCUCUAUAGUGGUCAGUUUGUAUGCGGCGUGCAAGAUUCUCUAUCGAAGAUGCAUCGAAAAAUACGUUUUGGCGCCCUAUUUUCCUCCCUUGAGCCUCUCAAGUUCAUCAUUGCUCACUGUAUUUUCGACACUAGCAACAUCAUCAAAUUGCUUCUGCUUCUCACUUAUCAGUCUCCAUUGAAGGUUUGUCAGCGAGCACUAACUUAACAUGAUCCCAAGAAAAUGGGGUGAUUGGUGACUACAAAAGAGUCGUGGUGGGUCAUUACAAUGAUCACAAUACCAAUACCAAUAGACAAUUUGUUAGAUUUGAUACACACUAUUAGGAUGUUUUGUUUGUGAUCAUGUUUUGUUUAUAUGAUGGAAUUGUAUUAACUUAAUUUUGUGCAUAUGUUCAUUUGUGUACCAAGUUUUAGUUUGUUGAAUAUUUAUAUGUUAGUUGUAUGAAAUAAAUUGGAAACUAUUAAUUA